rnacentral:rRNA from 1 species
AUUGAACGCUGGCGGCAUGCCUUACACAUGCAAGUCGAACGGCAGCACGGGAGCAAUCCUGGUGGCGAGUGGCGAACGGGUGAGUAAUAGUAUCGGAACGUACCCGGUCGUGGGGGAUAACGUAGCGAAAGCUACGCUAAUACCGCAUACGAUCUACGGAUGAAAGCGGGGGAUCGCAAGACCUCGCGCGAUUGGAGCGGCCGAUAUCAGAUUAGGUAGUUGGUGAGGUAAAGGGCUCACCAAGCCGACGAUCUGUAGCUGGUCUGAGAGGACGACCAGCCACACUGGGACUGAGACACGGCCCAGACUCCUACGGGAGGCAGCAGUGGGGAAUUUUGGACAAUGGGCGCAAGCCUGAUCCAGCAAUGCCGCGUGCAGGAUGAAGGCC